AGGGGGAUAACUACUGGAAACGGUAGCUAAUACCGCAUAACGUCUUCGGACCAAAGUGGGGGACCUUCGGGCCUCACGCCAUCAGAUGUGCCCAGAUGGGAUUAGCUAGUAGGUGGGGUAAUGGCUCACCUAGGCGACGAUCCCUAGCUGGUCUGAGAGGAUGACCAGCCACACUGGAACUGAGACACGGUCCAGACUCCUACGGGAGGCAGCAGUGGGGAAUAUUGCACAAUGGGCGCAAGCCUGAUGCAGCCAUGCCGCGUGUGUGAAGAAGGCCUUCGGGUUGUAAAGCACUUUCAGCGAGGAGGAAGGGNAGUGUGUUAAUAGCACAUUGCAUUGACGUUACUCGCAGAAGAAGCACCGGCUAACUCCGUGCCAGCAGCCGCGGUAAUACGGAGGGUGCAAGCGUUAAUCGGAAUUACUGGGCGUAAAGCGCACGCAGGCGGUUUGUUAAGUCAGAUGUGAAAUCCCCGCGCUUAACGUGGGAACUGCAUUUGAAACUGGCAAGCUAGAGUCUUGUAGAGGGGGGUAGAAUUCCAGGUGUAGCGGUGAAAUGCGUA
rnacentral:rRNA from 2 species